GGGCUUGUGGUUUAGUGGUAUAAUACUCCCUUAGCACGUGCUCGAGUAAAAUGCUGCCAUGUCCGUUGGCUGGCAACUUGAAAGCGUCUAAAAAAUGGGAGUGGUCCGGGGUUCGAUUCCCCGCGAGUCCA